AUUGAACGCUGGCGGCAGGCCUAACACAUGCAAGUCGAGCGGAUAAAGGGAGCUUGCUCCUGGAUUCAGCGGCGGACGGGUGAGUAAUGCCUAGGAAUCUGCCUGGUAGUGGGGGAUAACGUCCGGAAACGGGCGCUAAUACCGCAUACGUCCUGAGGGAGAAAGUGGGGGAUCUUCGGACCUCACGCUAUCAGAUGAGCCUAGGUCGGAUUAGCUAGUUGGUGGGUAAAGGCCUACCAAGGCGACGAUCCGUAACUGGUCUGAGAGGAUGAUCAGUCACACUGGAACUGAGACACGGUCCAGACUCCUACGGGAGGCAGCAGUGGGGAAUAUUGGACAAUGGGCGAAAGCCUGAUCCAGCCAUGCCGCGUGUGUGAAGAAGGUCUUCGGAUUGUAAAGCACUUUAAGUUGGGAGGAAGGGCAGUAAGUUAAUACCUUGCUGUUUUGACGUUACCAACAGAAUAAGCACCGGCUAACUUCGUG
rnacentral:rRNA from 1 species